AAGUCGGGUGUGAAAUCCCUCGGCCCAACCGAGGAACUGCGCCCGAAACUGCAUGUCUUGAGGACAGGAGGGGAGCGCGGAAUUCCUGGUGGAGCGGUGAAAUGCGUUGAUAUCAGGAGGAACACCGGCGGCGAAGGCGGCGCUCUGGCCUGUUUCUGACGCUGAGGUGCGAAAGCCAGGGGAGCAAACGGGAUUAGAUACCCCGGUAGUCCUGGCCGCAAACGAU
rnacentral:rRNA from 1 species